GUCACCCCCGGGGCCCAGUGCCCAUAGCGGGGCGGCUGUAACAGGGCUGCUACGGAGAGAGCGGAAGGCGGCGGCCCCGGCCCCUGCCAGGCGUGAGACGGGUGCGGGAAAGCCGGGGUUCAGGAGAUGGUACCUGUGGAGGAUAGCUCUUGCACACGGUUCUGCCGCUGCCGGCCUGAUGAGCCCGCCUGUGACAGAGGAAACGGGCUUAUAGCGUCGAGAGGGAGCAGACGAGAAUCUACAGAACACCAACUCUGCGGAAAAAGUUUAAUUUUCAAGCUGCAGCAGUAGCUGAAGCAGGAGUCACGUACACGAGACACAGGCCUUCCUGAGCUCCCCGAGCAUUGGAAACAGAUUGUGCUAAUUGAACACUAGCCGCAGGACAUUGAUGUGUUCAAGAACCAUUUCAAAACCUACACCUACUAUGCAAAUCAUGCUGCCAUUUUAAAACUAAGUAAACUCAGGCUGGAUCGAGACCAUGAGUCUUUCUGACCUCAGAAUGUCACCCUCUACCCUUCUUUCCAUUUUAAGCGGUGGUGCACAGACCCAUCUUUUCAUUAACUACAACACGUAUGGUUUGGCUUUACUUUAAAGAUGUGUUGUAUCUGAGCCCUAGCCAGCCUCAGACUUCCUCUUUGCCAGGCCAGUAACACCACUUUAGUUUCUCAUGCUUCCCAUUCUCUAGUUGUAUUCUACUCAGAACACUCAUACAUGAUGAAAUAACUGCUGUGUGUAUAUGGGGGCUUAUUUUCUUAUUCCUUGUACUUACUUUCUUAUUUCACUGCAAGAGGCAAAUGCUUUGGUUUGGAUUUAAAAAAGUCCCAGGUAUGUAUGUGUUGCUCUAAGGCCAGCUUAUAAAAGACCGCAUGGAAAUGCAUGUUGCUGUUAGGAAGGCAGGAACAAAGAUUUGUGGCUAUCCUUAGUUCUAAGUGGAGAUGGAUCCAGAGAGAUUUAUGUUAUUAUGUUCUACGGGAUCAAAGUUUUGUCUUUAUCACAGAUCUUUAGUUCACCCCUUGUCCACCUUCCACACUUGGAAUUUAACCUACUGGAAACCAGUAGGGGUAACAGGAAUGGGUUACAUAUGCUCCUGUGAACAGGUCAACAGCAGACUGCAACCAGCAACACAUUAGUAAUUGACAAGUCAGAUUAUGGUACUUGUGAUGACUGCAGCAUACCAAGGAAUCCUGAGCAAGGGCUGCUACUGUCCAACACCCUGUGGUACGCUGCCCCAGUGGUAGGAAAUAUGAAAAGAGCUAUGUGCCUUUUGAUCGUUGCUGUCAUCUGACCAGUCACUAUAGCUGUGGCAUGUUGAUGUUGAAAGUCAGUUCCUUCACCUCUCCCAAGCAGAUACAGUAUCUGGCUGGGGAGAUCCUUCAGCAAGAAUUUUACCAUGCAUUGAUCCAACUUUCUUUCUCAUGUAACUUUUUGCUUCUUUUAUCUUGUACAGAAGUUCCCUAAAAUACUUAUUUUUCCUCCUCCAAAUUCUUACAUUAAGUGCCUCCCUGUUUACAAAAUCCUUGUCAGUAAUUAAAUAGCUUAUAUGUUACAAUCUCUGCUUGGUAUAAUUACCCUACUAUUAGUUCUCCCUGUUGACUGUGUUUAUCUUCAUCUACUACCAUCAGCUCUGAUAAAAUUUGGAGUGUAUGAAGUGCCUUAUACAGUGAAGAACCAGAAUUAUGAAGGACCUGCAGGUGCUACCACAAGGAUCCCCAGGAGGGGAAAUCAGAAUAGCACGUAUUGUCAGAUGAGAGCAUAAUUCCAGCUAGGAAGAGAACACAAGUGAGAAGCUUGUUGAGUCAGUCUCUUUCAAAGAUGAUCCUUGAAAACCCAAAGGUUGUUUGCAUUUCUAAUGCUUAUUUUGAAGCUUUGCAUGAACCAAAAAGUGGAGGUGAUAACUCAUAACACGCAAAAUCUGAAAGUACAAUAUUAUGGGAAAAAAG